rnacentral:rRNA from 1 species
UACGAAGGGGGCUAGCGUUGCUCGGAAUCACUGGGCGUAAAGCGCACGUAGGCGGCUUUCUAAGUCAGGGGUGAAAUCCUGGAGCUCAACUCCAGAACUGCCUUUGAUACUGGAGAGCUUGAGUCCGGGAGAGGUGAGUGGAACUCCGGGUGUAGAGGUGAAAUUCGUAGAUAUUCGGAAGAACCCCAGUGGCGAAGGCGGCUCACUGGCCCGGUACUGACGCUGAGGUGCGAAAGCGUGGGGAGCAAACAGG